rnacentral:rRNA from 1 species
UUUCAGCGCGACAUCUAAACGCGUAAAAUACGCUCAGCGCCAGACGGGCGAGUAACGCGUGGUAACGUACCUUUUGGUUCGGAACAACACACGGAAACUUGUGGUAGUGCCGGACAAGCCCUUCCGGGGAAACAUUUAUCGCCGAAAGAUCGGCCCGAGUCUGAUUAGCUAGGUGGCGAGGUAAUGACUCACCAAGGCGACCAUCACUAGCUGGCCUGAUAGGAUGAUCAGCCACAUUGGGACUGAGACACGGCCCAAACUCCUACGGGAGGCAGCAGUGGGCAAUAUUGUACAAUGGGGGCAACCCUGAUCCACCCAUGCCGCGGGAGUGAUGAAGGCCCUAGGGUUGUAAAGCUCUUUUGUGCCGUAAGAUAAUGACGGCACCGCUAGAAUAAGCCCCGGCUAACUUCGUGCCACCAGCCGCGGUAAUACGAAGGGGGCUAGCGUUGCUCGUAAUCACUGGGCGUAAAGGGCGCGUAGACGGGUCUUUAAGUCAGGCGUGAAAUCCUGGAGUUCAACUCCAGAACUGCCUUUGAUACUGAGGAUCUUGAGUUCCGUAGAGGUGAGUGUAACUGCGCAGUGUACAGGUGAAAUUCGCAUAUAUUCGCUAAGAACACCCGCUGGCGAAGGAAAGCUCACUUGGCCCGGAUACUGUACUCUGAUUACACCGAAAGCGCUGGCGGAGCAAAACAGGAAUCUAGAUUACCCUUGCGCAGGCCCCUUCCCGGAAACGAAUGAAAUGCCCCGCCCGCCUAGUGGAGCUUUUCCUCCCCUAAUGGGCGGAAUCUUUGCCGCUUUUU